rnacentral:rRNA from 1 species
GACGAAGGGGGCUAGCGUUGUUCGGAAUUACUGGGCGUAAAGGGCUCGUAGGCGGCCAACUAAGUCGGACGUGAAAUCCCCAGGCUCAACCUGGGAACUGCGUCCGAUACUGGAUGGCUUGAGUUUGGGAGAGGGACGCGGAAUUCCAGGUGUAGCGGUGAAAUGCGUAGGUAUCUGGAGGAACACCGGUGGCGAAGGCGGCGUCCUGGACCAACACUGACACUGAGGAGCGAAAGCCAGGGGAGCAAACGGG